rnacentral:misc_RNA from 1 species
AACGCAACUGGCGCCGUUUUACCUGCAUGCCUGUUUCCGUGUGCUAGGAGAGUAAAAUAUCAUUAUAAAAUAUAAUGAGAUUGCGGCACAUUUAUGUUCUUCUUUCGUUUAAUAUGAAGGUGUGAAAGAUGAGUAAUCUCUCACACUGGCAAACGAAGUAGUCAUGCUUGUUCCUGAUCUCGAUUAACCAGUGCUGAAGGUUUUUGCUUAGCUAUAAAUCACAUCUAAUCAAUUAAAUAUCUCCAAAUUAGGCAUCUGAAAUCAGACAAGGAUACCCGCUGAACUUAA